rnacentral:rRNA from 1 species
GAUGAACGCUGGCGGCGUGCCUAAUACAUGCAAGUCGAGCGAAUGGAUUAAGAGCUUACUCUUAUGAAGUUAGCGGCGGACGGGUGAGUAACACGUGGGUAACCUGCCCAUAAGACUGGGAUAACUCCGGGAAACCGGGGCUAAUACCGGAUAACAUUUUGAACCGCAUGGUUCGAAAUUGAAAGGCGGCUUCGGCUGUCACUUAUGGAUGGACCGGUGUCGCAUUAGCUAGUUGGUGAGGUAACGGCUCACCAAGGCAACGAUGCGUAGCCGACCUGAGAGGGUGAUCGGCCACACUGGGACUGAGACACGGCCCAGACUCCUACGGGAGGCAGCAGUAGGGAAUCUUCCGCAAUGGACGAAAGUCUGACGGAGCAACGCCGCGUGAGUGAUGAAGGCUUUCGGGUCGUAAAACUCUGUUGUUAGGGAAGAACAAGUGCUAGUUGAAUAAGCUGGCACCUUGACGGUACCUAUCCAGAAAGCCACGGCUAACUACGUGCCAGCAGCCGCAGUAA